GCUCAACAGAUUCCUCUCUUCUCCAAAGCAUUGCAUUACAUCAACUGUAGUGAAGGAAGGAAGGUAAUGGAUCAUCAACAGGAGCAGGAUCCUCCAACAUUCAACAGUAAAUCACUUGAGAAGAAGCCAGGAAUUCUCUUUAUUGGAUCUCCCAAUGUCGGCAAACGCGCCCUUAUCUCUCGACUACUUUCAGUAGAUUCUGAAGAUGCAUUUGAAUCAUCUUCUAACAUCCUAUCAUAUCCGUAAGUUGACAAAGUGGGCAAUCAACACCAAG
rnacentral:misc_RNA from 1 species